rnacentral:rRNA from 1 species
GAUGAACGCUAGCUACAGGCUUAACACAUGCAAGUCGAGGGGCAGCAUGGUCUUAGCUUGCUAAGGCCGAUGGCGACCGGCGCACGGGUGAGUAACGCGUAUCCAACCUGCCUUACACUCCUGGACAGCCUUCUGAAAGGGAGAUUAAUACAAGAUGUUAUCAUGAGUAAGCAUUUUCGCAUGAUUAAAGGUUUACCGGUGUAAGAUGGGGAUGCGUUCCAUUAGAUAGUAGGCGGGGUAACGGCCCACCUAGUCUUCGAUGGAUAGGGGUUCUGAGAGGAAGGUCCCCCACAUUGGAACUGAGACACGGUCCAAACUCCUACGGGAGGCAGCAGUGAGGAAUAUUGGUCAAUGGACGAGAGUCUGAACCAGCCAAGUAGCGUGAAGGAUGAAGGUUCUAUGGAUUGUAAACUUCUUUUAUACGGGAAUAAACGAAUCCACGUGUGGAUUUUUGCAUGUACCGUAUGAAUAAGGAUCGGCUAACUCCGUGCCGGCAGCCGCGGUAAUACGGAGGAUCCGAGCGUUAUCCGGAUUUAUUGGGUUUAAAGGGAGCGUAGAUGGGUUGUUAAGUCAGUUGUGAAAGUUUGCGGCUCAACCGUAAAAUUGCAAUUGAUACUGGCAGUCUUGAGUACAGUUGAGGUAGGCGGAAUUCGUGGUGUAGCGGUGAAAUGCUUAGAUAUCACGAAGAACUCCGAUUGCGAAGGCAGCUUACUAACCUGUAACUGACAUUGAUGCUCGAAAGUGUGGGUAUCAAACAGGAUUAGAUACCCUGGUAGUCCACACGGUAAACGAUGAAUACUCGCUGUAGGCGAUAUACAGUCUGCGGCCAAGCGAAAGCAUUAAGUAUUCCACCUGGGGAGUACGCCGGCAACGGUGAAACUCAAAGGAAUUGACGGGGGCCCGCACAAGCGGAGGAACAUGUGGUUUAAUUCGAUGAUACGCGAGGAACCUUACCCGGGCUUAAAUUGCAACCGAAUAUGGCGGAAACGCUAUAGCUAGCAAUAGCGGUUGUGAAGGUGCUGCAUGGUUGUCGUCAGCUCGUGCCGUGAGGUGUCGGCUUAAGUGCCAUAACGAGCGCAACCCUUGCCGAUAGUUACUAACAGGUUAUGCUGAGGACUCUGUCGGGACUGCCAUCGUAAGAUGUGAGGAAGGUGGGGAUGACGUCAAAUCAGCACGGCCCUUACGUCCGGGGCUACACACGUGUUACAAUGGGGGGUACAGAGGGCUGCUACCACGCAAGUGGAUGCCAAUCCCAAAAACCUCUCUCAGUUCGGAUUGAAGUCUGCAACCCGACUUCAUGAAGCUGGAUUCGCUAGUAAUCGCGCAUCAGCCACGGCGCGGUGAAAUACGUUCCCGGGCCCU